UGGGGAAUAUUGCACAAUGGGGGAAACCCUGAUGCAGCGACGCCGCGUGAGCGAUGAAGGCUUUCGAGUCGUAAAGCUCUGUCCUAUGGGAAGAUAAUGACGGUACCAUAGAAGAAAGCCCCGGCUAACUACGUGCCAGCAGCCGCGGUAAUACGUAGGGGGCUAGCGUUGUCCGGAAUCACUGGGCGUAAAGGGUUCGCAGGCGGAAAUGCAAGUCAGGUGUAAAAGGCAGUAGCUUAACUACUGUAAGCAUUUGAAACUGCAUAUCUUGAGAAGAGUAGAGGUAAGUGGAAUUUUUAGUGUAGCGAUGAAAUGCGUAGAUAUUAAAAAGAAUACCGGUGGCGAAGGCGACUUACUGGGCUCAUUCUGACGCUGAGGAACGAAAGCGUGGGUAGCAAACAGG
rnacentral:rRNA from 1 species